CUCCUCCCUGUUCCGUCAUUGGCUGGGAAGUCACGUGUGUCCGGAUUACCCUCAGCUGUUAGCAGUUGCGAGGGUAAUCAUGUCCGCAUAUAUACCGCGCGCUUCCCAGCACACAACGCGGAAGAUUAAGUAAUAUGAAGUGGUGGUUGCAGUGAUUCAGUCAAUUGACAAGGAUGUGAAAUAUACACUGUGCCAAAAAGAGCUCAAAAGCCUGAAACCACACAACUGGUUAAUGGGAGAGACUAUUGAAUGCUACUUCCAAGCACUGUUGAAUUCGAAAGGUUAUGGAAGAAAUUGUUUUUAUUCAACUACUCUGCCAGUGUUGUUGUAUUUGGGGAGAGGUCUGCAUUGUCAAAUCACAGUUUCCAAAAG
ensembl:lncRNA